GCAUUGGUAGUUCAGGGGCAGAAUUCUCACCUGCCACACGGGAGGCACAGGUUCAAUUCCUGGCCAAUGCA
rfam:Loxodonta africana unplaced genomic scaffold scaffold_5, whole genome shotgun sequence.